rnacentral:rRNA from 1 species
CCUACGGGAGGCAGCAGUAAGGAAUAUUGGUCAAUGGAGGCAACUCUGAACCAGCCAUGCCGCGUGCAGGAUGACGGCCCUAUGGGUUGUAAACUGCCUUUAUACAAGAGAAAACCCUGGUACGUGUACCAGGUUGAUAGUAUUGUAAGAAUAAGCAUCGGCUAACUUCGUGCCAGCAGCCGCGGUAAGACGAAGGAUGCAAGCGUUAUCCGGAUUCAUUGGGUUUAAAGGGUGCGUAGGCGGACUGAUAAGUCAGUGGUGAAAUCUCUUUGCUUAACAAGAAACUGCCAUUGAUACUGUCGGUCUAGAGUAUAGAUGACGUUGCGGAAUAUGACAUGUAGUGGUGAAAUACUUAGAUAUGUCAUAGAACACCGAUUGCGAAGGCAGCUAACGAAACUAUAACUGACGCUGAGGCACGAAAGUNCGGGGAUCAAACAGGAUUAGAUACCCUGGUAGUCCGCACCGUAAACGANNAUACUCUGUUGU